GGUGGCUUAGUGGUUAGAGCGUCGGCCUCGGAUGCAGGAGGUCGAGAGUUCGAACCCUGGCUAACCA